UACGUAGGGUCCGAGCGUUGUCCGGAUUUACUGGGCGUAAAGCGCGCGCAGGCGGCGGUGCUGGCCCGGCGUGAAAGCCCGCGGCUCAACCGCGGAUUGUCGUUGGAAACUGCCUCGCUAGAGUCCGGAAGAGGAGAGCGGAAUUCCUGGUGUAGCGGUGGAAUGCGCAGAUAUCAGGAAGAACACCCGUGGCGAAGGCGGCUCUCUGGGACGGUACUGACGCUGAGACGCGAAAGCCAGGGGAGCAAACGGG
rnacentral:rRNA from 1 species